GUUCAUUGCAAAUAAAAGGAAGUCUAGGGAUAAGAUGGGCCUUCUCCAGAAGGAAGCGUGAGAACUGGCUACCCUGGAUGUGGAGAAGGCUGAGGUUCUCAAUGACUUGUUUGCCCCAGUCUUCACUAGCA